AACCUCAAAGAUAAUUUGUAGCAGAUCAGUCACUGCAGAGGUCAGGAUAUGUAUUGUCGAUGCUCGCAGACAAUAGAAUUGCAGACUUGUUCAUCAUUAAAAGCAAUUAUACAUUUAGGGUGUGAACAUUUGGUAAUGGUUUGAGUGAAUGCUAGAGACGACUGCAUGAAUAUGCCACCCCUAACGUAAUGCCCUGACAGAGGCCCUUAAAGAUGAAAUAAAUGACGAUAAGAAGCUUGGUAACAGAUUUGUGCAACGAGCAAAUUGUAACACGCACAGGGAAAAAUACACGAGAAGGCACAAAGAAUACACACACGUAGCACUUCAUUGUGCCUUCUCAUAUCUUUGUUCCCUGUUCGCGCUACAACUCGCUCAUUUCAACAUGAACAACCAACAAGCCCACAUCGCCACUCAGAUUUGUGCAGUUUCCUUCGAGUCAUAUUUGGCUGUUUUCACAACGCGGACGACACCGUGUCAAAGGAAGUUAUGGAAAAGAGACUGAAAGCAGUGCACUGGUACCCCUUGCAGCAAUUGGAUGUUAUAAAUGUGAUUUCCACAUCACACACAUACCAUGACCUGAAGUUUUGGAUGGAAUGGUGAGCAUAUUUAUGCAGUGAGCCAUCUUAAGUGCCGACUGGCAUACUCUAGUGUUCAAAGGCACUGAAUAUAUUCUAAUUAAGACUGCAAGACUGUAAUGCAAUCACAGUCAGAAUUCAUCAAUUCAAUAAACAAUACACAUUUGAA